CUCAUAAAGCUCAUAUAAGUGAUGCCAUGCGCACCGCCGUACGUGAAGUUGCUUUUCAUUUUCCGACGGCCAUUAUCAGCGGAAGACAGAGAAAUAAGGUAUAUGAAUUUGUAAAGUUAAGGAAUGUGUAUUAUGCUGGAAGUCAUGGCAUGGAUAUAUCCACUCCAUUAGGCUCUUCAAAUAAUCAAAAUCAGAAGCAUCAAACAAAGGUUAUUGAUG